rnacentral:rRNA from 1 species
UACGGGGGGGGGCAAGCGUUGUUCGGAAUCAUUGGGCGUAAAGGGCGCGUAGGCGGUCGACCAAGUCGGGUGUGAAAUCCCUCGGCUCAACCGAGGAAUUGCAUUCGAUACUGGUCGUCUGGAGUCCGAGAGGGGGUAGCGGAAUUCCCAGUGUAGCGGUGAAAUGCGUAGAUAUUGGGAAGAACACCGGUGGCGAAGGCGGCUACCUGGAUCGGUACUGACGCUGAGGCGCGAAAGCCAGGGGAGCGAAUGGG